GACGAACGCUGGCGGCGUGCUUAACACAUGCAAGUCGAACGGAAAGGCCCUGCUUUUGUGGGGUGCUCGAGUGGCGAACGGGUGAGUAACACGUGAGUAACCUGCCCUUGACUUUGGGAUAACUUCAGGAAACUGGGGCUAAUACCGGAUAGGAGCUCCUGCUGCAUGGUGGGGGUUGGAAAGUUUCGGCGGUUGGGGAUGGACUCGCGGCUUAUCAGCUUGUUGGUGGGGUAGUGGCUUACCAAGGCUUUGACGGGUAGCCGGCCUGAGAGGGUGACCAGCCACAUUGGGACUGAGAUACGGCCCAGACUCCUACGGGGGGCAGCAGUGGGGAAUAUUGCACAAUGGGCGGAAGCCUGAUGCAGCAACGCCGCGUGCGGGAUGACGGCCUUCGGGUUGUAAACCGCUUUCGCCUGUGACGAAGCGUGAGUGACGGUAAUGGGUAAAGAAGCACCGGCUAACUACGUG
rnacentral:rRNA from 1 species